UAUUUGUUGUGAGUUUUCUUGAAUUAUAUGCACUUGUUUUUCUAUAGUGGUACCCUCAUAAUUAGCUUGGACAUGCAUGUUGUAGUCAUAGUGGAAAUUGCCAAUAUGUUAUAAUGGACUACAAAUAAUGAUAGAGGGAUUGAUCGGACUAGUGCAUUCUACUAAAGCCUCUUCAAGAACUAGAGAAGAUGACCAAUAUUAUUCUUCAAGCUCUGAAAAUUACUGGACAAAGAGGCAUUAUCAACAAAGGCUGGGGUUGGUAAUUCAGUACAAUCAAAUGAUUCUGUGUACUUAGUGGACAAUUGCCCCCAUGAUGACUCUUCCUCGGAUGCUCUGUUGUGGUCAGGAACGUUACCAUGGCCUGGCUCCCAUGUAUUACUACGGUGCAGCUGCAGCUGUUGGUCUAUGAUAUCACAAGCCUGGAGUAAUUUGUUUUUAGCGAGCUAAGAAGUGGGUUUUUGAAUUGCAAAGACAAGCAAAUCCAACUUUUUAAUAAUGUUCUUGGCUGGAAACAAGGCUGACUUGGAAGAGAAGAGAAAAGUAGGGACUGAGAAAAGUAGUCCUCACUUAGGAAGCAUAGAUCUAUCAGGGCAGAAAUGGUUAGGAAGUAGAGACGAUACGUAGUUUGCAGAAGGCAAGCAGAAAACAAGUAGUGAAGUCUUUGACCAUUGCGCAAUAGAUACACUGCUGAUUUCUCAUGGGACAAGUACACUCUUCAUGAAGGACCUUUUGAGGAGGUCGGAGCAACGUGUUGAAACUUUUAUCAAUGGGGUAGAUUAGUUUAUGCUGUUGUUAACGAACUGUAUUUCAUGGUUUGAGUAUGACUUUCAUCA